ensembl:lncRNA
GCCUGCGUCCUCAGGGGGUGCACAGCCAUGGGCUGCUGUGUGGAGCUGCAGGGCCUCGAGGUGUGCUGCUCACAUUUGAGGAAGGAUUCUCAUUAAGGAGAGGACAACGUGUCCUGGGAGCAAGCUGUGACUUCACACACAGAUACUUUCUGGAUUUAUCCUGAACGAGAAGUGGAAUUGUUGAGUUAAUGCCCAGGAAGCAGCCCUUCUCCCCAGUGCUACACCCUGCAGCCCAGGAGGCCUUCACACACACGGUAAGAAAGCCUCUCUUCUUUGUUUCCAAGCUGAGCUCUGAGUGCAAGCAUUUAGUAGCAUUUAAAUGAAUUCUAUGCAAAAGUUGUCUGUUUUUCAGCUUUCAGUCUGAAGUUGUGUGAAUUGUGGCCACAGUGUGAAUUUAAGGCUUUAGUGCCUACGUUGGUGAAUGACGGAGUUUCAGAACAUAGCUCAGUGUUGAAGCAUUUUAGAGACUAUGCCAACAGUAAUGACUUUAUAAUUAAUGAUAAUCUUCAUAAUUUAUCUGGGACAGUGGCAAAAAUAAGUGAUCUACCUGUGUGUUAAUGGCUGCAGAAUAUGCGGGUGUGUUCCGUCCAAAUACGUUUUUGCAAGGAGAGGCUUUGUUGUGGGUCUGUCACUGUCCUGGGAGGG